rnacentral:rRNA from 1 species
UACGUAGGUGGCAAGCGUUGUCCGGAUUUACUGGGCGUAAAGGGCGCGUAGGCGGCCUUCUAAGUCGAACGUGAAAUCCCCGGGCUCAACCCGGGAACUGCGUCCGAUACUGGAAGGCUUGAAUCCGGGAGAGGGAUGUGGAAUUCCAGGUGCAGCGGUGAAAUGCGUAGAUAUCAGGAGGAACACCGGUGGCGAAGGCGGGUCUCUGGGCCGAUACUGACGCUGAGGAGCGAAAGCGUGGGGAGCGAACAGG